CUACCAUCCACUUAAGAGCUAACGCGAUGAAGUACGCCGUGCUGGUGCUGCUGUCAAUGAUCAUUGUGACAGGAUCGCAGACUGUGGACAAUUGUGAAAGGACGACAUCUUCUGGUUGGAAAUGGCAUGUGCACUGAAGGACCAUUGCCCAUUUCACCGGGCCAAACCAUGCAGCUGCCGGUGCCCAUGUGCAAACGUUACAUGUCAUGACCACAUGAGGCGAGUCACAGUUACAUGGUCGGAUUGCGACACGCGGAGCUGGAGCGCACCUGUGAGCCUGCAUGCACAGGAGCUUCGAGGAAGUCACCAACACGUGUCCCCGAUGGAACAGAACGGCAAGAAAUGCUCUAAAAUUGCGGCUCGAGAAAGGAAGUGAAUCACAGGACAGCUGUGAAUGUAUUAAGCUUGAGGCUUAAGUUCGCCCCUUGCUAAGCAACCGACACCAGAAGUUCGUGUUCGUGAACAUUGCAUCAGCUCUACAUGUAAUUUUGUAUUACACUUUCUUCCAAAAUGUUAUUGCUUCUUGUGACAAUGAACGGCUCAAAAAGAGUAAUAAAU